CUUAGUUCCGCCAACCCUAGAUGUGCAUCGGGCCUUCCCCUGCCCGGUGAAGUUGUAGUGGCCGGGUGGGAGAGAUCCCUUUGGGAAUGCGCUGUCCUCGCAACGGACCUGAACCUAACGUGAUCUCGAAAGCCCAGGACUCCGACGAUCCCACUCACCUUGCAUCAUGGCAGUCCCAGGUUGCAACAAGGACAAUGUCAGAGCAGGCUGCAGAAAAUGUGGCUACCCUGGUCAUCUGACUUUCGAGUGCCGCAAUUUUCUCCGGGUAGAUCCCAAAAGGGACAUUGUGUUGGACGUCAGCAGCACCAGUAGUGAGGACAGUGAUGAAGAAAAUGAGGAGCUGAACAAGCUGCAGGCUCUGCAGGAGAAAAGUAAGCCGUGGUUCCUGCCCACUGUCCUCUUCUGACUCACGGGACGCUUAUGUAACUGUGCACAUCAUAGAGGCGUCUUUCCUAUUGCAUACGAGGGCUACAGCAGAGGAAUAAAUGAAGAAGAGGAAAAGAAAAAGGAAAAGAGCAGGGAGAAAAUUAAAUUGAAGAAAAGGAGGAAAAGGUCUUACUCCAGUGCCACUGAAGAGGACUCCGCAAAACAAAAGAAACAGAAGUAUCAGAAAAAAGAAAAGAAAAAGGAAAAAAAGAACAAGUCAAAGAAAGGAAAGCAUCACAAAAAGGAAAAAAAGAAGAGAAAAAAGGAAAAGCGUUCUUCCCCUUACCAUUCUGAACUCACCAAAAAGUAACAGCGUCUUGGGCCUAACUCAGAAAAUUCAAGAAUUCAGUGUUUUUAACUGUUGAGCCUUCCUUGGAAGUGCUAUGUGAUUACACUUUGCAGGAAGUCCCAGCCUCUUCCAUAAAGACAUUCUCACCUAUUGGGGCCCUUCUCUCUCUGACCAUCUGUAUUAAACCCAUCUCUUUACUUAGCAGAUGUGCCUCAAGUAUAGACAUGCGUACUUACAAAGCACAUCAUUCUUUUGGUGGCUUAGGCCGGUGCUGUCCCUCGGUAAGUCAAUUAGCACGUGGCUUUACUGCAGUCACAGGAAUGAUCUACUUAGCAGCUCUGAGUCGUGUCCGCCUUCCAGUGGCACAGCUGCCUCGGCAGGAGUGAUUUGCUCUUGAUACUGAAUAGCUUUAUGUACUCUGUAAUGUAUAAAGAUAGUGAGGGUCUUCACUGUUGUUUUUUAAAUCUCUAGACUUUCUAAAAUAACAUUGAGGAUAAAAUUGCUUUACUGAUCUUAAGUAGUAAGUUUUUAAAUGAAUGGGAUCUACAGGAAGAUAAUAAUGAAAGUAUUUAUAACAGUGCCGUUGUUUUAUGAAAUGCAUGUUUCUGGCACUUGCCUCCCAUGUUUUUAUAACAAUUAAAACAUCCCCUUUUUUAAACAAUCAUUUAGGUUACUAGGAAGUCUGGCAGAGAGAUUCUAUGCUAGUCAAGAUUAUUAGGGUAGAUCCUGGGUUGAUUUACAAAUGUGCCAUAUUGGCAUGUCUUAGGUGAUACCUCAAACACAGAGCUUUUUGUGUGGUAGCAGCAAAAUCCUCAUUAAAACUGAUUUUAAUUGUAUCCAGUGUAUAUGAUGCCUACAUAUAUUCGUGUUAUGAUAGUUUUUAUGAAUGUGUGCAUAUAUAUAUUUUUUUUCUGAAAUGGUUUUAGAGUGAGUUUCACACUGAACUUCUGGCUCAUGGAUAAUCAAUGUUGAUAUUUCCUCUUCCACGUCGGUCACAGAUCUUAGUAGCACUGUGAAAAUUUUUAAAUUAAGAUUUCCAUUCUGUACUUUUUAAAAUUGACGACUUGGAGAUAGCAUCGUGAAAGCCUUUGUGUAAUAAUGAAAUUUGUAUAUAAAUAAGCAUUUUCAAUGACAUGUCAGUAGAUUUAAGUGUCUCUGAGGUUUUUAAUUUCAUGGUUAUCAGUAUAGAGUAGUUUGACAUCUAAUAGUCCCUAAUACCACCAAGUUAAUGCAUUAUGCCAUAAAAACAUUGAUCACCAACCUGCUAUCAUCGAACAGCCCCGAAGCCUCCGAGUACCUUGCUAUGGUUCACUUCAUACAUCUUCAGAUUGGUAAGUGCACGUGUGGCUGCGGGCAAAUUUAUGGCCAUAAAAUGAGAUGCGUACACUUGGCCUUGCAGGCUGGAGGGCUUUAGCAAUUGUUCCCUUACCCAAACUGACAUUCCCUGAUUGACUGAGGGGUAGUCCUAGGAAGUCCCUUAAUGUACCCUCAUCUCUGCUCAGGUUACACAGAAGCUACGCCCACACCCUUCCCUACACUGCUCCCGUGAAGUACACCUACGUACGUACCUUCAGCUCUUCCACUAACUGGCUACUCUCCUGGCCCAUAAAAAAAGUAAUUUUGUUUAGAGUUUUGUCAGUUGUUUGAACUAAAGCACAGAACUUUAAUAUUUAGGGAUUUGUUUUGUCUAUGCUAAUUUUUGUGAAAGUUCAGUUAUCUGAAUUAAUAAAAGGUUAUUUGGAUUAAUAAAAAUAAAAGUCAUUUUUAAAA